rnacentral:ncRNA from 2 species
UUACGAUAAUAGCAAAUUUAUCGAAAGGUAAAGACGCAAAGCUAUGGGUCUAAGGAAUUCCAUUCUAUGAUUGCCAGGUUGCCGAA